rnacentral:lncRNA from 1 species
UUUGCUCCGUCCCAAAAGAGGGGGGCUUGGAGAUGGGACAUGGGAACGCGGUGAGGACUGAGAUGGAGCAGGAGAGACCAGGUUGGAAUUGGAGAUGUGGAUGAGCUCGCAGUGGGCUGGGCUGAUGACGGGAUUGUGUUUGGGGGCAAGGACUAGAUUGGGGGUGCACCUGGGGUUGGGCUGGGGACAUGCCGUGCAGAAAGACAGUUCUUUAAUGUAGCUGCUGAGCACUGGAGGUGAUAGGUUCUGCAAACCGAGGUCAGGGCCACUACAGAGGGUUAGUGACUAGGGAAAAGGCUGGCAGCGAGGAAGGGGAGGAGGGGCCCAAAGAGGGAAGCUCUGGUGGCCAAGACAUCCUGCGGGCCUGAGAGGCUGGGGGCUUGAGGGAUGCCUCGGAAGUGAGUCAGGGGCUGGGCACUGGGAGGCAGACGGAGGGUUGGAGGGGCAGGAUGUCAGCGCCACUUUGCAGAGGGGGGUGCCGGAGCCAGGAAGGGGAAAGACGUCGGAGCCAGUUUUGGGAAAAUGUCGAAGCCGGGUUUGGGGAUGUCAGAUCCAGCGCCGAGGCAAUAUUGGAGCCAGGUCCCCCCCCACCUGUCAAAAUGCCGAUCCUGAAGAAUCUAGGAGUAUCAGACCCUAAGGUGCCCCGGGCGGGAACCCUGCCCCUGAGAUCCUCUCGGAACCCCUUUGAAGAAGUUUCGGGGCUGGAGGAAGAGGAGGCCGGGGAGCCGGGGUCCCUCCCCAAUGGAGCAUCUUGCCGCCGCCGGGCCACCCUGGAGAAGCUGGCAGGCCUGUCCCCCUUCCGGCUGGGCUGGGCCCCGGGCCGGCGGGCAGGCAGCCCUGGAGAUGGGCAGCCCCGCUCUUUCUUGGGCCGAGUGCUGGUACCAGGGUUACGAAGGAGCUCGGCAGAUUUUGGCCUCCUGGCCCGGCUGCAGGGGACCCGAGCCCAUGGCGACGAGGAAUCAGCGGGGGAGGCCGCCCGGAGACUGGCCUUCCUGAAACUGGGGCGUGGGUCCAAGCCCCAGCGUGCGUCCCUGGCUGAGAGGGUGGUGCCUGCAGGGGAGGCAGCUCCAGAGCCCCCACCAAAGGUCCCGGAGCCCCCAAAGAUGAAGGAGCCGUUGUCAGUGCUGGAGAUUCUGAGCCUGAUCCAGCAGCGCGAGCUCGCGCGCGCCGACGAGCACAUCCUGGAGCUGGAGGCCGAAGAGCUGGCGUCG